UACGGAGGGUGCGAGCGUUGUUCGGAAUUAUUGGGCGUAAAGCGCACGUAGGCGGUUUGUCGCGUCGGGAGUGAAAACACUGGGCUUAACUCAGUGCUUGCUUUCGAUACGGGCAGACUAGAGGAAGGCAGGGGAGAGCGGAAUUCCUGGUGUAGCGGUGAAAUGCGCAGAUAUCGGGAGGAACACCGGUGGCGAAGGCGGUUCUCUGGGC
rnacentral:rRNA from 1 species